rnacentral:rRNA from 1 species
AAUAAACGCUGGCGGCGUGCCUAACACAUGCAAGUCGAGCGGGAAAGCCCUUCGGGGUAAGUACAGCGGCGGACGGGUGAGCAACGCGUGAGAAUCUGCCCUUUAGUGGAGAAUACUCCCGAGAAAUCGGGCAUAAUACUGCAUGAGUCCCUGCGGGGAGAAAGAUGGCUUUAUGCUGUCGCUAGAGGAUGAGCUCGCGUACUAUUAGCUAGUUGGUAGGGUAAUGGCCUACCAAGGCGAUGAUGGUUAACCGGCCUGAGAGGGUGUUCGGUCACACUGGAACUGAGACACGGUCCAGACUCCUACGGGAGGCAGCAGUGAGGAAUAUUGCGCAAUGGGCGAAAGCCUGACGCAGCGACGCCGCGUGGAGGAUGAAGGUCUUUUGGAUUGUAAACUUCUGUUAAGUGGGAAGAAAGGCCUGUUUCUAAUACAAGCAGAAAAUGACGGUACCACUAGAGAAAGACACCGGCUAACUUCGUGCCAGCAGCCGCGGU